rnacentral:rRNA from 1 species
GGGCCAGUGGGUUGGUCGUGCCACCGGUACGUACUGGUCUCACUGAUUCCUCCUUCCUGAAGAACCGUAAUGCCAUUAAUUUGGUGUUGCGGGGGAACAGGACUGUUACUUUGAAAAAAUUAGAGUGUUUAAAGCAAGCUAACGCUUGAAUACAUUAGCAUGGAAUAAUGAAAUAGGACGAUCGAUCCUAUUUUGUUGGUUUCUAGGAUUGACGUA